rnacentral:rRNA from 1 species
CCUACGGGAGGCAGCAGUGGGGAAUAUUGCACAAUGGGGGAAACCCUGAACCAGCAACGCCGCGUGAGGGAAGACGGUUUUCGGAUUGUAAACCUCUGUCCUCUGUGAAGAUAAUGACGGUAGCAGAGGAGGAAGCUCCGGCUAACUACGUGCCAGCAGCCGCGGUAAUACGUAGGGGGCAAGCGUUAUCCGGAUUUACUGGGUGUAAAGGGCGCGUAGGCGGAUGUGCAAGUCAGUCGUGAAAUACCGGGGCUCAACCCCGGGGCUGCGAUUGAAACUGCACACCUUGAGUAUCGGCGAGGAAA